rnacentral:rRNA from 1 species
UACGGGAGGCAGCAGUGGGGAAUAUUCCACAAUGGGGGAAACCCUGAUGGAGCAACGCCGCGUGAGUGAAGAAGGGUUUCGGCUCGUAAAGCUCUGUUGACGGGGACGAAUGUGCAAAAUGCGAAUAGUUUUUUGCAAUGACGGUACCCGUCGAGGAAGCCACGGCUAACUACGUGCCAGCAGCCGCGGUAAU